UUUGCAGUGGUCUACUAUUAGCCUGGUCAGCCAUCCGGUUUUCUCAGUAUAUUCAGUACUGAGAGAACAGUCUGAAACUGGUCCAUUCGCUGUGAAUUAUGCCCGAUCUAUUUUAUACCGGACCAGUCACAAGUCUUGGGGGUGGGUGUUUCGCAAUUUGUCAUGCAUACCAACUUCUUUUUGUUGGAAGUCAAAGUCAGUUCCAAGUCAGCAAAUCUCUUUACAGCUGUUGUCAGUUGUUUGAUUCAAAAAUAAGGAUUGAAUUACAGAUUACACCCUGUAU